rnacentral:rRNA from 1 species
AAUGCCCUACGGGGGGCAGCAGUAGGGAAUCUUCCACAAUGGACGAAAGUCUGAUGGAGCAACGCCGCGUGAGUGAAGAAGGGUUUCGGCUCGGAAAGCUCUGUUGGUAGUGAAGAAAGAUAGAGGUAGUAACUGGCCUUUAUUUGACGGUAAUUACUUAGAAAGUCACGGCUAACUACGUGCCAGCAGCCGCGGUAAUACGUAGGUGGCAAGCGUUGUCCGGAUUUAUUUGGCGUAAA